ACUAAAGAUCAUGAGUUUUAUGCUUUGUGUGAUUUGGGUGCUAGUGUUUCCACUAUCCCCAAAACUUUGUGUGAUUUGCUAGAUUUCCGCAAUUUUGAUGAUUGCUCUCUAAACUUGCAUCUUGCGGAUUCUACUAUUAAGAAACCUAUGGGAAGGAUUAAUGAUAUUCUUAUUGUUGCAAAUAGGAAUUAUGUGCCCGUAGAUUUCAUUGUUCUUGAUAUAGAUUGCAAUCCUUCUUGCCCUAUUAGUCUUGGUAGACCUUUCCUUAGAACGGUUGGUGUGAUUAUUGAUAUGAAGGAAGGGAAUAUUAGAUUCAAUUUCCAUUAA
rnacentral:rRNA from 1 species